AGAGUUUGAUCAUGGCUCAGGAUGAACGCUGGCGGCGUGCUUAACACAUGCAAGUCGAACGAAGAUAUUUAGAAUGAGAGCUUCGGCAGGAUUUUUAUCUAUCUUAGUGGCGGACGGGUGAGUAACGUGUGGGCAACCUGCCCUGUACUGGGGAAUAAUCAUUGGAAACGAUGACUGAUACCGCAUGUGGUCCUCGGAAGGCAUCUUUUGAGGAAGAAAGGAUUUAUUCGGUACAGGAUGGGCCCGCAUCUGAUUAGCUAGUUGGUGAGAUAACAGCCCACCAAGGCGACGAUCAGUAGCCGACCUGAGAGGGUGAUCGGCCACAUUGGGACUGAGACACGGCCCAGACUCCUACGGGAGGCAGCAGUGGGGAAUAUUGCACAAUGGGGGAAACCCUGAUGCAGCGAUGCCGCGUGAAGGAGGAAGGUUUUCGGAUUGUAAACUUCUAUCAGCAAGGAAGAAAAUGACGGUACCUGACUAAGAAGCCCCGG
rnacentral:rRNA from 1 species